rnacentral:rRNA from 1 species
GAUGAACGCUGGCGGCGUGCUUAACACAUGCAAGUCGAACGGUGAAAGCGGAGCUUGCUCUGCUGGAUCAGUGGCGAACGGGUGAGUAACACGUGAGCAAUCUGCCCCUGACUCUGGGAUAAGCGCUGGAAACGGCGUCUAAUACCGGAUACGAGCUGCAAAGGCAUCUUCAGCAGCUGGAAAGAACUUCGGUCAGGGAUGAGCUCGCGGCCUAUCAGCUAGUUGGUGAGGUAACGGCUCACCAAGGCGUCGACGGGUAGCCGGCCUGAGAGGGUGACCAGCCACACUGGGACUGAGACACGGCCCAGACUCCUACGGGAGGCAGCAGUGGGGAAUAUUGCACAAUGGGCGAAAGCCUGAUGCAGCAACGCCGCGUGAGGGACGACGGCCUUCGGGUUGUAAACCUCUUUUAGCAGGGAAGAAGCGAAAGUGACGGUACCUGCAGAAGAAACGCCGGCUAACUACGUGCCAGCAGCCGCGGUAA